rnacentral:rRNA from 1 species
UACGUAGGGUGCGAGCGUUGUCCGGAUUUAUUGGGCGUAAAGAGCUCGUAGGCGGUUUGUCGCGUCUGCUGUGAAAUCCCGAGGCUCAACCUCGGGCUUGCAGUGGGUACGGGCAGACUAGAGUGCAGUAGGGGAGACUGGAAUUCCUGGUGUAGCGGUGAAAUGCGCAGAUAUCAGGAGGAACACCGAUGGCGAAGGCAGGUCUCUGGGCUGUAACUGACGCUGAGGAGCGAAAGCAUGGGGAGCGAACAGG